GAUUUUCGCAAUGCCCGAAAGGGUGACGAGGCGACGCCGCGUGGGUGAGGAAGGCCCUCGGGUUGUAAAGCCCUGUCAGGAGUUAAGAAAUGUAGACACGCUAAUAUCGUAUCUAUUUGACAAAGGCUCCAAAGGAAGCCACGGCUAACUCUGUGCCAGCAGCCGCGGUAAUACAGAGGUGGCAAGCGUUGUUCGGAAUUAUUGGGCGUAAAGAGCACGUAGGUGGAUUUGUAAGUCAGAUGUGAAAGCCUUCUGUUCAACGGAAGAAUUGCAUCUGAAACUACAAACCUUGAGUAUAGGAGGGGAGAAUGGAACUUCUGGUGGAGCGGUGAAAUGCGUAGAUAUCAGAAGGAACGCCGGCGGCGAAAGCGAUUCUCUGGCCUAUUACUGACACUCAGUGUGCGAAAGCUAGGGGAGCAAACGGGAUUAGAUACCCCGGUAGUCCUAGCCGUAAACGAUGGGCACUAAGUAGAGGGG
rnacentral:rRNA from 1 species